rnacentral:lncRNA from 1 species
CAGCGCCAGUCCAGGAAGUGCGAGAAGGAGGAGAAAGCCGAGAAGCUCAAGAUCAAGAAGGCAAUGGAGAAGGGAAACGUCGACGGCGCCCGGAUCUACGCCGAGAACGCGAUCCGGAAGCGCACUGAGCAGAUGAACUACCUCCGCCUCGCCUCGCGGCUCGACGCCGUGGUGGCGCGGCUUGACACCCAGGCCAAGAUGUUCACCAUCAACAAGUCAAUGGGCAAUAUCGUCAAAUCGCUCGAGUCGUCGCUGGCCACUGGAAACCUCCAGAAGAUGUCGGAGACCAUGGACUCGUUCGAGAAGCAGUUUGUGAACAUGGAGGUCCAGGCCGAGUUCAUGGAGACCGCCAUGGCUGGCUCCACCUCGCUUUCGACACCGGAAGGUGAGGUCAAUAGCUUGAUGCAACAGGUUGCGGAUGACUAUGGGCUUGAGGUGUCUGUCGGCCUGCCUCAGGCAGCUGCACAUGCCGUGCCUGCCAAGGAAACCGAGAAGGUCGAUGAGGACGACCUCU